CUGGCUCAGGACUGAACGCUAGCGGCAGGCUUAACACAUGCAAGUCGAGGGGCAUCGGGAGUAGCAAUACUUGCCGGCGACCGGCGCAAGGGUGCGUAACGCGUGAGCAACAUGCCCGUAUCAGGGGGAUAAUCCAUGGAAACGUGGUCUAAUACCCCAUAGUAAUUAUGUAAGGCAUCUUAUAUAAUUUAAAGCUUUGGUGGAUACGGAUUGGCUCGCGUGACAUUAGCUGGAUGGUAAGGUAACGGCUUGCCAUGGCUACGAUGUCUAGGGGUUCUGAGAGGAAGGUCCCCCCACACUGGAACUGAGACACGGUCCAGACUCCUACGGGAGGCAGCAGUGAGGAAUAUUGGACAAUGGAUGGAAAUCUGAUCCAGCCAUGCCGCGUGCAAGGAAGACGGCCCUAUGGGUUGUAAACUGCUUUUGUAUGGGAGCAAUAAGGGCUACGUGUAGUCCGAUGAGAGUACCAUACGAAUAAGCACCGGCUAACUCCGUGCCAGCCGCUGC
rnacentral:rRNA from 1 species